AUGAACGCUAGCUACAGGCUUAACACAUGCAAGUCGAGGGGCAGCAUGAACUUAGCUUGCUAAGUUUGAUGGCGACCGGCGCACGGGUGAGUAACACGUAUCCAACCUGCCGAUGACUCGGGGAUAGCCUUUCGAAAGAAAGAUUAAUACCCGAUGGCAUAGUUCUUCCGCAUGGUAGAACUAUUAAAGAAUUUCGGUCAUCGAUGGGGAUGCGUUCCAUUAGGUUGUUGGCGGGGUAACGGCCCACCAAGCCUUCGAUGGAUAGGGGUUCUGAGAGGAAGGUCCCCCACAUUGGAACUGAGACACGGUCCAAACUCCUACGGGAGGCAGCAGUGAGGAAUAUUGGUCAAUGGACGAGAGUCUGAACCAGCCAAGUAGCGUGAAGGAUGACUGCCCUAUGGGUUGUAAACUUCUUUUAUACGGGAAUAAAGUGAGGCACGUGUGCCUUUUUGUAUGUACCGUAUGAAUAAGGAUCGGCUAACUCCGUGCCAGCAGCCGCGGUAAUACGGAGGAUCCGAGCGUUAUCCGGAUUUAUUGGGUUUAAAGGGAGCGUAGGCGGACGCUUAAGUCAGUUGUGAGAGUUUGCGGCUCAACCGUAAAAUUGCAGUUGAUACUGGGUGUCUUGAGUACAGUAGAGGCAGGCGGAAUUCGUGGUGUAGCGGUGAAAUGCUUAGAUAUCACGAAGAACUCCGAUUGCGAAGGCAGCUUGCUGGACUGUAACUGACGCUGAUGCUCGAAAGUGUGGGUAUCAAACAGGAUUAGAUACCCUGGUAGUCCACACAGUAAACGAUGAAUACUCGCUGUUUGCGAUAUACAGUAAGCGGCCAAGCGAAAGCGUUAAGUAUUCCACCUGGGGAGUACGCCGGCAACGGUGAAACUCAAAGGAAUUGACGGGGGCCCGCACAAGCGGAGGAACAUGUGGUUUAAUUCGAUGAUACGCGAGGAACCUUACCCGGGCUUGAAUUGCAACUGAAUGAUGUGGAGACAUGUCAGCCGCAAGGCAGUUGUGAAGGUGCUGCAUGGUUGUCGUCAGCUCGUGUCGUGAGAUGUUGGGUUAAGUCCCGCAACGAGCGCAACCCUUAUCCUUUGUUGCCAGCGGUCCGGCCGGGAACUCAAAGGAGACUGCCAGUGAUAAACUGGAGGAAGGUGGGGAUGACGUCAAAUCAGCACGGCCCUUACGUCCGGGGCUACACACGUGUUACAAUGGGGGGUACAGAAGGCAGCUACACGGCGACGUGAUGCUAAUCCCGAAAGCCUCUCUCAGUUCGGAUUGGAGUCUGCAACCCGACUCCAUGAAGCUGGAUUCGCUAGUAAUCGCGCAUCAGCCACGGCGCGGUGAAUACGUUCCCGGGCCUUGUACACACCGCCCGUCAAGCCAUGAAAGCCGGGGGUACCUGAAGUGCGUAACCGCAAGGAGCGCCCUAGGGUAAAACUGGUGAUUGGGGCU
rnacentral:rRNA from 1 species